rnacentral:lncRNA from 1 species
ACCUCCACCUGGAGCUCCACCUCAUUCUGGGCUCCUCCUGGCUCUUGAAGCUCCACCUUGCACUGGACUCCCCAUCAGAUAAUAAUGUUCUCUUCUCCCCUUCUUUCCUUCUAGAACAAUCCUAUCGCCACAUAGCACCUUCAGAAUUUUUCCACCAGCUACCGUCCUAUUGCCUCUCGAAUCCAGUCUGCUCAGUGAGAUAAGAUUCUGCCUAAAAUUGAAUAUGUAUCAGACCUCCCUCAAUCUCUUCACUGCACUAUCAUGUGUCCUCCAACUAACCAUCCUAAUGCCUCUG